AGAGUUUGAUCAUGGCUCAGAACGAACGCUGGCGGCAUGCCUAACACAUGCAAGUCGAACGCUCCGCAAGGGGAGUGGCGCACGGGUGAGUAACGCGUGGGAACCUGCCGAGGGGUGUGGGAUAACCGGUGGAAACGCCGGCUAAUACCGCAUACGUCCUAUGGGAGAAAGAUUCAUCGCCCUUCGAGGGGCCCGCGUCGGAUUAGCUAGUUGGCGGGGUAACGGCCCACCAAGGCGACGAUCCGUAGCUGGUCUGAGAGGAUGAUCAGCCACACUGGGACUGGGACACGGCCCAGACUCCUACGGGAGGCAGCAGUGGGGAGUAUUGGACAAUGGGGGCAACCCUGAUCCAGCAAUGCCGCGUGAGUGAUGAAGGCCUUAGGGUUGUAAAGCUCUUUCGGCGGGGACGAUGAUGACGGUACCCGCAGAAGAAGCCCCGGCUAACUUCGUGCCAGCAGCCGCGGUAAUACGAAGGGGGCAAGCGUUGUUCGGAUUUACUGGGCGUAAAGGGCACGCAGGCGGUUUUUCAAGUCGGGUGUGAAAGCCCCGGGCUCAACCUGGGAACUGCACUCGAGACUGAAGAACUAGAGUUCGGGAGAGGAUGGCGGAAUUCCCAGUGUAGAGGUGAAAUUCGUAGAUAUUGGGAAGAACACCGGUGGCGAAGGCGGCCAUCUGGACCGAGACUGACGCUGAGGCGCGAAAGCGUGGGGAGCAAACAGGAUUAGAUACCCUGGUAGUCCACGCCGUAAACGAUGUGCGCUAGACGUCGGGAAGCCUAGCUUUCCGGUGUCGCAGCCAACGCUUUAAGCGCACCGCCUGGGGAGUACGGCCGCAAGGUUAAAACUCAAAGGAAUUGACGG
rnacentral:rRNA from 1 species